rnacentral:lncRNA from 1 species
ACAGAGAAUUGGGAUUUUUUUUUUCUUCAUAGGAUUUUGGGAAGACUAAGGCAAUCGUUGCUGAAUAGUCGAAGUGUUGUACUGGUGAAUCGGGAUUUUAAUGAAGUGGGUGUGAUUAUUCUUGACUGUUUUGUGAAAUCGAAGUUACGCCUAUGAUUGAAGAAUUAAAAGGGUGUCUGUAGGAUUGAGUAUGCGGAGUGAAUGAAAAUUAUUGGGUUAAUCUAACAAGACAGUCAAUCGAUACAAGGUCGUGAGUAUAAAGCGGUAUCGA